AAAUAAGAAACAAUUAUUUGUAUUUAGUUUCGACCUAAAAUUUUGAUGAUUUAUUUCAUCCUUAUUUA
rnacentral:tRNA from 1 species